CCGGGCCGGGCCGGGGCGACUCGCGCCGGGACGGGUGGGCCAGGUAGGGCCCUGGCGGCCCUCGGGGCGUCUCCUGCGGCCUCUUGUGUUGGAGAGGGCGGGGACGGACCGUCCUUAUGAAAGGGCUCCGGGGAGGACGGGUGACCUCCCUGAAGGCUCAAGGCCUUCCACGGCUCAGGGGGAUAGGACUUCCGUGGGAAGGCGGUAGAAGAGAGAGCUCCCGCGUGCUCCCUGGUGGUCUAGUGGCUAGGAUUCGGCGCUUUCACCGCCGCGGCCCGGGUUCGAUUCCCGGUCAGGGAAUUGCUUUUUUGACCAGGCAUCUUCCCUUCUAGCCCUGCAGCUGCGCGCCGGCGGUGUGCUCCCCCCACCGCACCGACUCUUCCUCUCCCGCGGCCGGGGGGAAACGAUGGCUGGCCCCUUGGCAGGGCGCGCCGGGCUUGAUUGUGUCCAGGUCCGCCGCCCGCAGAAGUGACCGCAGAGGGCCACUAAGCAGCUGACUCGUGUUUACGUCUACGCGGCGGAGGUUCAAAUCCCCGUGGGGCCGCCCCAGAGGCGCCCACCAGGCUGAGCUCUGGAUCCCAGGUCUGGAGGCCAGGCCACGUCGCGGGGUUCGUGUGUACCCCGGACGCGAGCCGGUGGGCCCAGUUCCUCAGCUCAGUUCGUGCGGAGAAAGCGUACUACGCGUUCGGACCCGAUACCCGCGAGGGCUGAAGGGAGCGGGUCCUCCCCGAAGGCUGUCUCAUUCGCAGAUUAAGCGGCGUAGGGAGGUGAUGUUAGCUGACCCAACAAAAGGCAGCGAGUGAGGGGUGCACUAAACGGAAAACUUACUGCUUCCGUAAGCCGAAGGUAGGGGUAGAAAUCCACACCCGGAUCCCAAAACGAUGAUACCCCAGUCAAAUCCCCCAGUUUCUCCCAAGGGCUGUUGCAUUUAGACCCUGUAGACUUUACCAGGCGCUGGGCCCGUUUUCUUUUUUCCCUUCGACCCUGGCUCUGAAGACCUGUUGAGGUAAAUGUGACGUUCCGGUAAGGCUGGAAGAGAGAGCGAGCCAGGGCCGACGGAGGUGCUGUGGACCCAGCAGGCUGCAGAGGCGACAGGUGCGGGGUGGAGACCAGGCCGCGCAGGGGCUGCGGGGUGGUGAGUGUGGGGCCGCUGCCGAAGGCGGAUGGCCUCAGGGGCCAACUCGUGGGUUCUCGUGGGGCAGGUGUGCGAGGGGAGAGGGGCGAGUGUCUCUUGAACUCCUUUCGGGAGCGGUUUGGAAGAAUGGCGAGGGCUGGGUGGAGGAGAAGGUGGUGACCCUGAGUGUACCAGGGAGGAAUGGAAGGCUGUAGGGGUCGGUGGAGGUCCGCUAUAGGCAAAGAUAACUAUUUUCUUGACGGUGGGGUUUUGACUGCAUUUUCCGUCCGUUACUUGCUGGGUGCUUUUGUUCUGGCGGUGGUUCCGCCCCCCCCCCCUUGUUUUUCUUUCUUUCUUUCUUUUUUUGCUUCUUUCUGUCUCCUCUCCUCUCCUUGCCCCCAAGACUGUCUUUUCUUCACUCUUGUUCUCGCUGAGACCCUAGGUGUGUGCGCAGUGUGGCACCCUGAGGCUGCUUUCUACAGACCCUUCGGUGGAGGAAGCAUGGUUGAGGGGUUGGAGGUGCACAACACCGCCUGGUUCCAGCAGGCCGCACCGGAACCUUCUGUAGUGGUUCACUCCAAGAAAUCCAGGAAUUAUAAAUUCAUCCCUGCCAUCUGGGUAAUGAUGAAGGCAGAGUUUUCCAAAGCUUUCUUCCUGCAAAGAAAGCCCAAGGACCAAAAAAGGUCAUUAGAAGAAAUGACUCCAAAAGCAAAGAAAUUCUACAAGCAUCAAAAGAUGACAGAAUUCCCCAACUUAGGUUUAUGAGUUUGGGUGGAAACCAAAAACCCCAAAAAGGCAAUGGGAAAAACAGAAAUUACAGGCCUCGCUUACUGCUGAGUAUACACAGCUACGGAAAAAAAAAAAAAAAGACUGAAUCAAACAAAAUAUAUAUUUAAAAUGUGUCAUGACAAAAUUGGUCUUACACUGGGGAAGCAGUUGAUUAUCAUUAGAAAAUAAAUGAAUUCGUCACACUAACAACUUAUAUGGGAGGAAAAUGGGAAUCACCAAAGCCCAGAAAAGGUGUUUGAAAAAAUUCGUUAUCAGUUUAUGAUUUUUCAGAACCUCUUAGCCUAACAGGAAGAGAACAGCCCUCGUCUGCUGAAGGGGUAGCUUCUAGACCAAAAAACAGACAGACAAAACCCCUUCGACACACAUUAUAGUUGAUGAUAGAAUACUGACCUUUUCCCCCCUACCCUUGCCAACCAGGAACUGUCAGGAAGCAGACAAAGAGGCCCGCUGCCAUCACUUCUCUACACCACUGUGAUGGAGAUCUUAGCCAGUGAGGAAAGGCAAGAAGAAGUAGGAGAAGUGCAAAUGAAAAAAAGAAUACUACAAUUAUUUAUAUAUAUGAAAUAAAUUACUGGAACUAUUAAGAGAAUCGAGCUUCUUUGGUAUAUACACAAAUAGAGAAAGCAGGCUAUGAUGAAGAUUCAAAAUCCAAAGGUGUUAAAAACAUUAUAAAUGUUCAAUGAUUAUAGCAUAUAAGAAUUCAAUCCCAUGUACUGUGCGGGGGUGGGGGGAGGAGGGGAGAAGAGGGAUGAAAUAUGAUCCCUACCUCCACCAUAACCAGAGUAACUUCCAUGUGGAUUAGGCACCAAAAUGUGAAACGAAACCACGAAUGAUUUUAGUUGGUAUUAAUGUAUCGAGGUAGUCGCAUGAUCUCAAGGGUAAGCAAGGAUUGAAAACACAAGACAAAAAGACCAAUUUUUAGUGAAGAGGCUAAGUCACCUGCUUCAAGAAUCUCUGUUUAUUGCAGCACAGAAUCAAGGGUAAAAAGUCAAGGCACAAUUGAGGCGAAUGUAUCUGCAGUCAGCAUAAUCAAGUGGUAUCAAAGAUUCUUAAUGAGUUAUUGCAAAAGGAGAAGAAAAAGACAGACCUAUAGGAAAAAUCACCAAAGUCGGGGGAGAAAACACAGGAGAAAAUUCAAGUGGCUAACCAACAUGGACCCGUGCUCCAAUUCAUUACCAAGAAGGGCCUUCAAAACGGAACCCUGAUGAGAGAAUAUUACAGAGAGGCAAAAUAACAACAGCACCACUAAUAAUUAAGUGGGAGUAGGGGGUGAGGUAGAAGGUUAUGACCUGGUAAAGCAUGGGAGUGGUUGAUUAAAGGGCUAAUAAUAUUUUACUUCUUCAUCUGUGUGUAGGCUACACAGGUGUGUUCUGUGCAUUUUACCUUAUGUAUGUUACAAUUUUUCAAACCCCCACCCUCAAUCUUCCCCACUCCCCCCACCUUCCUCCCACCCCCUCCACAAAACUCUUGAGGUUGAAUCAAUCACGUUUGUUUUUUAAAAUUUUUGAAGAUUUUAUCUGUGUAUUAGAGAGAGCGCGCGCGCGCCUGCCU